AGUCUGUGGUGCGAGUGCGACACGCGACAGUGGAGUUUCGAUUUGGUUGGAAACAAAGAUGGAGACACAUUUUGACAGUCUUCCUGUUGACAUACUGCUUCACCUUUUCAACUACAUGAAUGAAAAAGACUGUUUAACCUUUUCGAUCUCAGGGGUGUCUGACAGAUUUUCAUGUCUAUGGGGAGAAAGAAGAAACCUUUCAAUCCAGCAGUGUUUUUUUGUCACCCAUAAUUCAUUACACACGUAUCUAAGUAGAUGGGUUUGCCCAAAAAUAAUUUCAAGUCUCGAUAUAAGCCACUGUUAUUGGCUGCCAAGUGACUUUUUAUUUGACGUUGUAACUUCAAUGAGUCACUUGGUAGCAUUAAAAAUUCAAGAUACCAAGCUUAACAUGUCACAUCUUUGGCAGAUAUUUAAAAGCUGUCAUCAUAUUGCAAAACUUAGUAUUAGCUUGUCAGAGAACGAUGAACCUAUUUUUGAUCAAAUGAAAGAGUCUGAAUCAUCAUCUCUUCAAACAUUAUCAAAUGGUUUCUCAAAACUGACUCACUUAAAAAUCCUUGCAUUCAAUGGUGCUUAUUAUAUAGACUCUUGGCCUUUAAUCCUGCAGCUAUUAAGUUAUUGCCGAAAAUGUGUGGAUUUGCACCUGGAAAUUGCCUAUAGUGAUUAUGAAUACUUCAUGCAUGGGCCAUUCGGGAAAUGUAAUUAUGAUUAUGCAUUCGUCGAUCGUGCUCGAGACGAAUUUUUUCCAAACUUGAGCUGGAUGGCAUUAUUGAAAAAUUUUGUGAUUUUGAAAAGGGGCGGUUUAUAUACUGAAACUAUAGUAGACGAAUGCGUCGAGGGGCUGGUCAAAUGGGUAUUUUCCUAUUAUGACAUGAACUGUGUUGAGCGCGUUUGGAUAAAAAUUGAAGAUUGUGGAAUCCCGUGUGAUAUGAUCCCUUCAGAAUGUCAACUAAAAUCACUUGUAUGCUAUGUUCAUGGUGAUGAACUGUCAAGUUUUGACGGGGAUGUCGAUGGGCGAUUUGCUAAGUUGGAACACAUCGGCGGUAUGAUUGCGCUACAACACUGGACCGGGUUGCCUAACCUUCGCUACAUUCAUGGCUUUGGCCACAGUGCACAAGAAGUUGACGAAAUGUGUAGAGCACAUCCCAGGUUAGAGUUUUUGCAUUUGGAUGACAGCUAUGUAGAAUAUCCUUUUUGUAUGAAAGCUGACUGGGUGUUGCAUCAUUUAAAGACAUUCGUUUACGUUUGCCUGUAUCCAAUGAAAGAGAUUCUAGAACCAUUUCUGAAAGCCGCUCCUAAUCUUGAAGUGCUUGGUAUUGGUCUUUCGAAUAACACUGCUUUUGGUCCUAAUCCUAGUCCUUACGAUGAACCUCUUGAUUUUUUGAAAAUGAUAUCACGUUGUGGUCGGUUGACUACCAUAACCCUAAACCAGUUUUGUUUGUUCGAAGGAGAUUUAUUUGCGAUAUUCAGUGGCUGCCCAUUACUUCGAAAUCUUCAUAUUUGCGGUGGUCUUACUUGCCCCGAAUCAUUCGACAAUCUUUGUCGGUACUUACCUCUGGCUAAAAAGUUGCGAGAUUUUAGAUUGCAGUACGACUCCAGGUGCGAAGGAGAAAACUCGAAUCGGGCCGUACUGAAUGCUCUUCUCGAUUCUAAAAGACUGGAAAGAAUUGUUCUCUACGAGGAGGACGGCGAGGAGGACGACUCUAAAUUUCCGUGGAAAAGUCAGGAACUUCAAGACGUUCUAUUCAAAUUUGUAAGCAGUAUGCCAGAUCUCGUCUGUUUCUUUUUCUUCACGGCAUCAGAAAUAGAACCAGGAACGGUGGCCAAACUGAAACAGAAAUUUGACGAGUUUAUUAUCCCAAUUCGACCGGCCUUUUGGUGCCAUGUUGAUAGAACCCUUCCCAGAGCAAUGGAUCCCACAGUCCCUCGAAUUCAUUAUGACCAGAUUGUAUGCCCUAUGGAAUACUUGGCUCCCGAAUUUUGAUCGUAUGCUUCAAAUGUACUUAGGUUUUUCAAAUUAUUCAGGUAAAUUUGCGCAUGUUAAUAAUUUGUAUUUUGUGUGGCAACCCCGAUUUUUUGUUUUGUUUUGUUUUUCUUGUUUUGUUUGUUUAGUUGGCUCGUUUAUUGCAGUCACUCAGUUACAACAGAAUACAACAUAGUGUGAAAUAGUCAAAACGCUUUUAGUAAAGAGUGUAAAGACCUACUGUAUGCUUCACUUAAAGGAAAACUGCAACUUUUACCUAUACAUUUGAGAUGAAUAAUGCUACCUAAUUUUGCUUAUAGCCAACCAACAAUACUUUAAAUAUUAUAUAUGUACAGGAUCAUGUCGCUUUGAUGAAAUUAGACAAGAUGACAUUUCAGUCCAAGGUUUAAUCACCACUAUGCAAAAGUAUCUUAAAGAAUAUUAUCAGAUAAGGAUUGUGAAGCUGUUUCAAUUUAGUCUCAUGGAAAGAAGACACUUCACAAGGAUUUCAACCGUUAUCACCUUAGUAAUGAUAAACAGCAUCCAGUUUGAUUGGAGAAACCGCCUAUGUAAUUUGAGUUACGGUUUUACGGAUCUCUUGUUCCUCC
rnacentral:misc_RNA from 1 species